rnacentral:rRNA from 1 species
GACGAAGGAUGCAAGCGUUAUCCGGAUUCAUUGGGUUUAAAGGGUGCGUAGGCGGACUGAUAAGUCAGUGGUGAAAUCUCUUUGCUUAACAAAGAAACUGCCAUUGAUACUGUCGGUCUAGAGUAUAGAUGACGUUGGCGGAAUAUGACAUGUAGUGGUGAAAUACUUAGAUAUGUCAUAGAACACCGAUUGCGAAGGCAGCUAACGAAACUAUAACUGACGCUGAGGCACGAAGUGCGGGGAUCAAACAGG